rnacentral:lncRNA from 1 species
CAACAAGAGUUAUUUAAUCAUUAUUCUCUGAGCUUAACAACAUUUUCUAAAUCAUUAUUGUUAUUAUUAUUAAAAGGCUAAAGACAAACGUUUAAAAAUAAAUCACUUCUAUGAAAAGGUAAAAUCCGUCCAAAAUUAAGUAACUCUUAAAAAUAUUGUCCUCCCAGCUAUAAUGGUAUAUGUCUCACUCUGCUGGUAUUGAUGGAUGGUAUAGGUCUCACUCUGCUGGUAUUGAUGGAUGGUAUAGGUCUCACUCUGCUGGUAUUGAUGGCUGGUAUAG